rnacentral:rRNA from 1 species
UCUAAGCCAAUUGCGAGUCGAGAGGUGCAAGACCUCGGCGCACUGCUCAGUAACACGUGGACAACCUACCCUGUGGAGGGGGAUAACCCCGGAAAACUGGGGAUAAUACCCCAUAGGUUAGGGAGGCUGGAAUGCCCCCUAGCUCAAAGGUCCGCCGCCACAGGAUGGGUCUGCGGCCGAUUAGGUUGUUGUUGGGGUAACGGCCCAACAAGCCUUUGAUCGGUACGGGUUGUGGGAGCAAGAGCCCGGAGAUGGAUUCUGAGACACGAAUCCAGGCCCUACGGGGCGCAGCAGGCGCGAAAACUUUACAAUGCGAGAAAUCGUGAUAAGGGAACCCCGAGUGCCCGUAAAUUCGGGCUGUCCGCCAGUGCAAAAAACUGGUGAAGAAAGAGCCGAGCAAGACCGGUGCCAGCCGCCGCGGUAAUACCGGCGGCUCGAGUGGUGGCCAUUAUUACUGGGCUUAAAGCGUCCGUAGCUUGGUUGUUAAGUCUCCUGGGAAAUCCAUCGGCUCAACCGAUGGGCGUUCAGGAGAUACUGGCAACCUAGGGACCGGGAGAGGUGAGAGGUACUCCAGGGGUAGGAGUGAAAUCCUGUAAUCCUUGGGGGACCACCUGUGGCGAAGGCGUCUCACUAGAACGGCUCCGACAGUGAGGGACGAAAGCUGGGGGAGCAAACCGGAUUAGAUACCCGGGUAGUCCCAGCUGUAAACGAUGCGCGUUAGGUGUAUCGGUGACCACAAGUCACCGAGGUGCCGAAGAGAAAUCGUGAAACGUGCCGCCUGGGAAGUACGGUCGCAAGGCUGAAACUUAAAGGAAUUGGCGGGGGAGCACCACAACAGGUGGAGCCUGCGGUUUAAUCGGACUCAACGCCGGGAAGCUCACCGGAUAAGACAGCUGAAUGAUAGCCGGGUUGAAGACUCUACUUGACUAGCUGAGAGGGGUGCAUGGCCGUCGUCAGUCGUACUGAAAAUNNNUC